AAGGCUGAAAGACGACCACCACUGAACAAGACACACAAGCUGAAACGUCAAGACUGAUUUUUCUAAGGUUUUAUGGACUGAUGAAAUGAGAAUGAGUCUUGAUGGGCCAGAUGGAUGGGCCCGUGGCUGGAUUGGUAAAGGGCAGAGAGCUCCAGUCCAAUUCAGACGCCAGCAAGGUGGAGGUGGAGUACUGGUUUGGGCUGGUAUCAUCAAAGAUGAGCUUGUGG